UGAAUACGAGACACUAAGGUGUUGAAGUAGUGUAUGUCAUACUUCCAAGAAAAGCUUGCACUGUCAUAAAUAAAAAUGCCUGUACCAUAACCGACACAGGUGGGUAGGUAGAGUAUACUAAGGGGCGCGAGAUAACUCUCUCUAAGGAACUCGGCAAAAUAACUCCGUAACUUCGGGAGAAGAGUGCCUUAUUUAUAAGGUUGCAAUAACAAGAUCCAAGCAACUGUUUAUCAAAAACACAGGUCUCCGCUAAGUCGUAAGACGAUGUAUGGGGGCUGACGCCUGCCCAGUGCCAGAAGGUUAAAGAAGUUGGUUAGCAAUAGCGAAGCUGGUAACUGAAGCCCUGGUGAACGGCGGCCGUAACGAUAACGGUCCUAAGGUAGCGAAAUUCCUUGUCGGGUCAGUUCCGACCCGCACGAAAGGCGUAAUGAUUUGGAUACUGUCUCGGAGAGGGGCUCGGUGAAAUAGACUUGUCUGUGAAGAUGCGGACUACCUGCACCAGGACAGAAAGACCCUAUGAAGCUUUACUGUAACUUGAAAUUGAAAUUGGACUUUAUUCGCGCAGCAUAGGUGGGAGGCGUUGAUUAUAAUCUCGCGGGAUUAUUGGAGCCAUCAGUGAGAUACCACUCUUGUAAUGUUAGAUUUCUAACUUUGAAUCAUUAUCUGGUCAAAGGACAGUUUCAGGCGGGCAGUUUGACUGGGGCGGUCGCCUCCUAAACGGUAACGGAGGCGUACAAAGGUUUCCUCUGAACGGUUAGAAAUCGUAUCUAGAGUGUAAAGGCAUAAGGAAGCUUGACUGUGAGACCUACAAGUCGAGCAGGGACGAAAGUCGGUCUUAGUGAUCUGACGGUACUGAGUGGAAAGGCCGUCACUCAACGGAUAAAAGUUACUCUAAGGAUAACAGGCUGAUCUCCCCCAAGAGUUCACAUCGACGGGGAGGUUUGGCACCUCAAUGUCGGCUCAUCGCAUCCUGGGGCGGUAGUACGUCCCAAGGGUUGGGCUGUUCGCCCAUGAAAGCGGUACGCGAGCUGGGUUCAGAACGUCGUGAGACAGUUCGGUCCAUAUCCGGUGUAGGCGUUAGAAUAUUGAGAGGAGCCUUCUUUAGUACGAGAGGACCGAGAAGGACAUACCUCUGGUGUACCAGUUAUCGUGCCAACGGUAAACGCUGGGUAGCUAUGUAUGGAGUGGAUAACCGCUGAAAGCAUCUAAGUGGGAAGCCCACCUCAAGAUGAG
rnacentral:rRNA from 1 species